rnacentral:rRNA from 1 species
GACGAACGCUGGCGGCGUGCUUAACACAUGCAAGUCGAACGGAAAGGCCCUGCUUUUGUGGGGUGCUCGAGUGGCGAACGGGUGAGUAACACGUGAGUAACCUGCCCUUGACUUUGGGAUAACUUCAGGAAACUGGGGCUAAUACCGGAUAGGAGCUCCUGCUGCAUGGUGGGGGUUGGAAAGUUUCGGCGGUUGGGGAUGGACUCGCGGCUUAUCAGCUUGUUGGUGGGGUAGUGGCUUACCAAGGCUCUGACGGGUAGCCGGCCUGAGAGGGUGACCGGCCACAUUGGGACUGAGAUACGGCCCAGACUCCUACGGGAGGCAGCGGUGGGGAAUAGUGCACAAUGGGCGGAAGCCUGAUGCAGCAACGCCGCGUGCGGGAUGACGGCCUUCGGGUUGUAAACCGCUUUCGCCUGUGACGAAGCGUGAGUGACGGUAAUGGGUAAAGAAGCACCGGCUAACUACGUG